GACGAACGCUGGCGGCGUGCCUAACACAUGCAAGUGGAGCGACGAACCAGGCUUCGGCCUGGGGCAAGGCCGCGAACGGGUGAGUAACACGUGGGUAACCUGCCCUGAUGAUUGGGACAACCCGAGGAAACUCGGGCUAAUACCGAAUGUGCCCUCCGGCCUCAAGGCCGCUGGGGAAAGGAAGCUUCGGCCUCCGCGUCGGGAUGGGCCCGCGGCCCAUUAGCUUGUUGGUGAGGUAACGGCNCACCAAGGCGACGAUGGGUAGCUGGUCUGAGAGGACGAUCAGCCACACUGGGACUGAGACACGGCCCAGACUCCUACGGGAGGCAGCAGUGGGGAAUCUUGCGCAAUGCGCGAAAGCGUGACGCAGCAACGCCGCGUGGGGAAGAAGGCCUCGGUGU
rnacentral:rRNA from 1 species